CAGUCACCGGAUACCAUCCCCGGACCCAGCACCAGCCCUACUGUUCACAAGUCCUGCUCCCAGAGUUUCCCGUGUGCAGGGCGUGCAGUGAGGAAUGCGUUCCUGUCUCAUGGUCCAUACCCUGCUAAAGACAAUUCACCUCGCCAGGAUCAUAAGGCGGAGCUACGUGGGUGUAGAGCUGGUCCAGUGGCUGUGUGAGCAGUGUGUGUAUUAACGCUGUGUGUGUGUGUGGUCCAGGCGGAGCUUACGU